rnacentral:rRNA from 1 species
CCUACGGGCGGCAGCAGUGAGGAAUAUUGGUCAAUGGGCGCAAGCCUGACCCAGCAACGCCGCGUGAAGGAAGAAGGCUUUCGGGUUGUAAACUUCUUUUCUGAGGGACGAAGAAAGUGACGGUACCUCAGGAAUAAGCCACGGCUAACUACGUGCCAGCAGCCGCGGUAAUACGUAGGUGGCAAGCGUUCUCCGGAUGUAUUGGGUGUAAAGGGCGUGUAGGCGGGAAAGCAAGUCAGAUGUGAAAACUCAGGGCUCAACCCUGGGCCUGCAUUUGAAACUGUUUGUCUUGAGUGCUGGAGAGGCAAUCGGAAUGCCGUGUGUAGCGGUGAAAUGCGUAGAUAUACGGAGGAACACCAGUGGCGAAGGCGGAUUGCUGGACAGUAACUGACGCUGAGGCGCGAAAGCGUGGGGAGCAAACAGGAUUAGAUACCCCAGUAGUC